AUUCACCAUCAUGCUGUGCUAAAUAAGUCUGAACUUGUCUGAUUUCAGAACUUAAGCAGGAUCAGGCCUAAUUAGCACUUGAGUGGGCUACUUCUGGUGAAUUCUAGGUGCUGUAUU
rnacentral:rRNA from 1 species